UACGUAGGGUGCAAGCGUUAAUCGGAAUUACUGGGCGUAAAGCGUGCGCAGGCGGUUGUGCAAGACAGAUGUGAAAUCCCCGGGCUCAACCUGGGGAAUUGCAUUUGUGACUGCACGGCUAGAGUGUGUCAGAGGGGGGUAGAAUUCCACGUGUAGCAGUGAAAUGCGUAGAGAUGUGGAGGAACACCGAUGGCGAAGGCAGCCUCCUGGGCCAGCACUGACGCUCAUGCACGAAAGCGUGGGGAGCAAACAGG
rnacentral:rRNA from 1 species